AAAAGUUAUUUUUAAUCAUGAACCUUUUGUUACUUUUUCGUUUUCGUCCUAAACUAUAUUUCUCGUUCAACUCCUUCCUAAAUGUUAUCAUAGUUUGUUUAUAGAGUUAAGUUAAACUUAACGUAACAUAUUUAAUGCACUACAAGACAAAAUAGUGAACCCGUUGAAUUGAAUUUCUAAUGUUUUUUAUUCUUCUUACGCUACACUAGGGUCAGCAAUAUUUGACACGACAUGAUAACGCAAUAUGGAUACGACACGAAGUUGAACGAGUUCAAGUUGAGGUUUUUUGAUAUUUGGUCUAAAUGGGUUCAACCCGUUUAGAUACGGUUAAUAAACGUGUCUUAACGGGUUGAACCCGCAUAACCCAAUUAGACAUGAUUAAACCUGUUUAUUAGACGUGUUUAAUCGUGUAAUCCAUUAACCCGUUUAUCUAACCAAAUUUACCAAUAUACCCUUCCACUAAUCCUAAUUUUGAAAUUCCUCUUGCGUUGCUUGCCUUCCCGUUCCCGUUCCUGUAGGUUGUAACCCUAACUCGUAACCCUUUGCGACUUUGUCCCUUCCUCAUUCGGUUCCGCCUCCACCUAUAUUAGCUGAAGAAGCCUCCACCGCUCCACUGUCCACGAUCCGCUCCGCUGUUCCGCUCGACCCCGCGACCUCGGACCCCCGCGACCUCGCGAACCUCAACUCGAGCCCUCUCUUUGACCUCAGAGUCUCAAACGAAGCGACGUCGGCUCGGUCCUCGACCUCAGACGAAGUCGAACUCGAACCCGGCUCGACCCUGCGACCUCAGCGCAGUGACCUCAACCACGCGACAGCGAUCGCCACCCUGCGACCCUCGAGUCGUCGAUCGUGGAGGCCUCAACCUCGAGCCCUCUUUAACUAUUUAGAUGUUGCGACGUCACCGAGACCUCAGACGAAGUCGACCUCGACCCCGGCUCAACCGCACAACCUCGACCUCGGAUGGUUGUGGGAUUUCUGUGGAUCAACUUAUAGAGGAUGUGAUAUACUUAAAUAUUAGCGAGGAGCCAUCAACUCAAGGGUCUAAUACCGUGGUUAAUUAAAGGAGCCAUCAAUUCAGAUGCCAUCACUGCAAGGGCACUCUCAAGCUGAGUAAUUACUCCUCCAACGACAGAGUGUUAUACUGCAAGCCCCAUUUCUAUCGGCUCAUCAAGAUGACUGGACGAUUAGAUAAAAGUUUUGAAGGUGAUUGUGAACAUAUAUAUUUAUAUGUGUUUAUGUUCCUUCUGAUGGUGAAUGCCUACUUUGGAAGCAUUAAUGAUAUGAUGCUAUUACAAGUUAUUGUAAUCUAUUUUAAGACUAGAUUUAUAUCU